CCCCUCUCAGGAUCGUGUCUGGAGAGUUUCCAGAACUCUGCCAGUCUCAGCUGCAGGAGGGAGAGUCAAACAGAGGCAUACCCAUUCCAUUCCUAACUUGGGCAGUGCUUAGUGAGUGGAAGGCAAUCUGCUACAAAU